UGGCGUCAUGACGCCCGAAACCUGAGGCAGGACAUGGAGCGUUGUCACACGAUUGGCGUAGCCAACGCUCGCCGAGUACUGAUCGACGAGCUUGGGCAGCAGGUGUGUGACAGUCCAGUCGGCGCCAAAGGUGUCUGCGAUCUCCUUCAGGUGCUGGAUGGCAGCCUGGCGCACAGAGUGCACCGAGUCGCGAAGGCUGGAGAGGAAAAUGGUCUCCAACUUGGCCUGGAA
rnacentral:snRNA from 11 species